CCGGUGUAUAAGCUACAGGGUGGAGCCUUUUUGCUGUAUACAGAGGUGACUUGCUUAGGUGUACUUAGACGUGGAAAACCGGUAUAUAUGCUACAGGGUGGAGUCUUUUCUUCUGGUUAUCAUGAGCUUAGUACAUGUGUACUUGGAAAUGAAAAGCUACAGGGUAGAGUCUUUUUUCUGGUUAUCAUGAGGUUAGUGCAUGUUCAAAUAUGACAUUAGUGGUUGAAUUCUGCAAUAGACAUGAUCAAAAAUGGUAACAAGCUAACUUGGCAGUAUUUAUUUUGCUUAAGGAUAUUAAAUAAGGUGUGCUUGGAUAUGAAAAAGCGGUACAUAAGCUACAGGGUGGAGUCUUUUCUUCUGGUUAUCGUGAGGUUAGUGCAUGUUCAAAUAUGACAUUAGUGGUUGAAUUCUGCAAUAGACAUGAUCAAAAAUGGUAACAAGCUAACUUGGCAGUAU